rnacentral:misc_RNA from 1 species
UAAAAAAUAUACUAUUUAAUCCUUAUAUUUUACUUUUUUUAAACUAUUAAGUCCCUCUGCCAAAUUUACUGUUAGUCAAUGCCCAUUAAACUACUAUUUAAUUUUUCCAUUUUAGUUAAACUAAUUAAUUGGUUCAUAUAUUUUGAAAACACAAUAUUUUGAAAAAAGAAACAAAAGAGGAUAAAAGAAAAAUAAGGGGAGAGGAUUAUGACAGUUUGAAUAUAAAACAAUAAUAAGAGAGACUAAAGAAUUAAUGAAACUGAAUUAUAGAGAUUAACUAAUGUGUUUUUCAAAAUAUAUGAAUCAACUAAUUAAUUUCUCCAAAAUAGAUAGACUAAAUAGCAAUUUGACAGGUAGUAAAAUCCAUUGACUAACUGAAAAUUUGACGGAAGUUCAAUGCAAUCAAAAUAUAGAGAUUAAAUAGUAUAUUUUUUAAAA